UACAGAGGUCUCGAGCGUUGUUCGGAUUCAUUGGGCGUAAAGGGUGCGUAGGCGGUUUGGUAAGUCUUGUGUGAAAUCUACAGGCUCAACUUGUAGUCUGCACGAGAAACUGCCGGGCUUGAGUAUGGGAGAGGUGAGUGGAAUUCCUGGUGUAGCGGUGAAAUGCGUAGAUAUCAGGAGGAACACCUGUGGCGAAAGCGGCUCACUGGACCAUAACUGACGCUGAUGCACGAAAGCUAGGGGAGCAAACAGG
rnacentral:rRNA from 1 species